GAUGAACGCUAGCUACAGGCUUAACACAUGCAAGUCGAGGGGAAACGACAUCGAAAGCUUGCUUUUGAUGGGCGUCGACCGGCGCACGGGUGAGUAACGCGUAUCCAACCUGCCCAUCACUUGGGAAUAACCUUGCGAAAGUAAGACUAAUACCCAAUGACAUCCCACGAAGACAUCUGAAUGGGAUUAAAGAUUUAUCGGUGAUGGAUGGGGAUGCGUCUGAUUAGCUUGUUGGCGGGGUAACGGCCCACCAAGGCAACGAUCAGUAGGGGUUCUGAGAGGAAGGUCCCCCACAUUGGAACUGAGACACGGUCCAAACUCCUACGGGAGGCAGCAGUGAGGAAUAUUGGUCAAUGGGCGAGAGCCUGAACCAGCCAAGUAGCGUGCAGGAUGACGGCCCUAUGGGUUGUAAACUGCUUUUAUAAGGGAAUAAAGUGAGUCUCGGGAGACUUUUUGCAUGUACCUUAUGAAUAAGGACCGGCUAAUUCCGUG
rnacentral:rRNA from 1 species